UACGUAGGGUGCAAGCGUUAAUCGGAAUUACUGGGCGUAAAGCGUGCGCAGGCGGUUUUGUAAGUCUGUUGUGAAAUCCCCGGGCUCAACCUGGGAAUGGCAAUGGAGACUGCAAGGCUAGAGUUUGGCAGAGGGGGGUAGAAUUCCACGUGUAGCAGUGAAAUGCGUAGAUAUGUGGAGGAACACCGAUGGCGAAGGCAGCCCCUGGGUCAAAACUGACGCUCAUGCACGAAAGCGUGGGGAGCAAACAGG
rnacentral:rRNA from 1 species